CAACCCGUCUCUGUUGCAAAAGAGUGGGAAGAUUUUUAAGUAGAGGUGACAAGCCUAUCGAACUUAGAGAUAGCUGGUUGUUCAGGAAAAGAGUUUCAGCUCUACCUUAAGUUUUUUUUAUUAAUCUAAGCAAACCUCCAGACUUAAGAGCUAUUCAAGUAAGGCACAACUUACUUGAAACAGGAUACAACCUCACUUAUCGGGUAAACAAGAACAAACCAAACAAAGUAGGCCUAAAAGCAGCCAUCUCAUAAAAAGCGUUAAAGCUUAACUUCUAAGUAUUUAUAAUUCCAAUAACUCUUAUUAACCCCUCGCCACUACUGAACAAUUUUAUAAUUCUAUAAAAACUAUUAUGCUAGAACUAGUAACAAGAAACUGCCUUUCUCCUAAAUGUAAGUUUACACCACAUCGGACUGUCCACUGGUAUUUAACGUAACUGUCCCUAUUAUAGCAACACUCAACCAGAAAACCCUAUAAACACCAACGUUAACCUCACACUAGAACAUUCUAGGAAAGAUUAAAAGAAAGAGAAGGAACUCGGCAAACCUUAGCCCCGCCUGUUUACCAAAAACAUCGCCUCUUGCCUAAUAUAAGAGGUCCAGCCUGCCCAGUGACAUAGUUUAACGGCCGCGGUACCCUAACCGUGCGAAGGUAGCAUAAUCACUUGUUCCUUAAAUAGGGACUAGUAUCAACGGCAUCACGAGGGCUACACUGUCUCCUCUCUCUAAUCAGUGAAACUGAUCUCUCCGUGAAGAAGCGGAGAUUUUAAUAUAAGACGAGAAGACCCCAUGGAGCUUAAAACUCAACAUACACCUCUAUUUUUCUACACCAAUUAACCAUAAGAGUCUGUAUAUUAGUUUUAGGUUGGGGGGACCGCGGAGUAAAACUCAACCUCCACGACAAACGGGCCAACGCCCUUAUCCAUGAAACACAAUUCUAAGAAUCAACAAUCUGAUGUUUUAUGACCCAAUAAGUCGAUCAACGAACCAAGUUACCCUGGGGAUAACAGCGCAAUCUA
rnacentral:rRNA from 1 species